rnacentral:rRNA from 1 species
UACGAAGGGGGCUAGCGUUGCUCGGAAUUACUGGGCGUAAAGCGCACGUAGGCGGCUUGUUAAGUCGGGGGUGAAAUCCUGGAGCUCAACUCCAGAACUGCCUUCGAUACUGGCGAGCUCGAGUUCGGGAGAGGUGAGUGGAACUGCGAGUGUAGAGGUGAAAUUCGUAGAUAUUCGCAAGAACACCAGUGGCGAAGGCGGCUCACUGGCCCGGAACUGACGCUGAGGUGCGAAAGCGUGGGGAGCAAACAGG